rnacentral:rRNA from 1 species
UACGUAGGACCCAAGCGUUAUCCGGAAUUACUGGGCGUAAAGAGUUGCGUAGGUGGCAUAGCAAGCCGAUAGUGAAAGGUCUUGGCUCAACCAAGAAGUCAUUGUCGGAACUGCUAAGCUUGAGCAUAGUAGAGGUAGCUGGAAUUCCUAGUGUAGGAGUGAAAUCCGUAGAUAUUAGGAGGAACACCGAUGGCGUAGGCAGGCUACUGGGCUAUUGCUGACACUGAGGCACGAAAGCGUGGGGAGCGAACGGG